AUAUCAUGGAGUUGCUGCAUCAAGCACGUGAAACGGAGGCUCGAAAAAUUCAAUUGGAUUUUCAAGGGAAUUUUGGAAUAAGAGAGAAAUAAACAAUUGAAUUUGAAAAAAAAAAAUCUUCCUAUUUUGGAUUAUUUCUUUAGGAUUUAACCCUCUUUUUUGAGUGAAAGGUGGAAUUUCCCCCUAUUCUUUCUUAUUUUAACUGAUUGUAUUCCAUAUGGAAUAAGAGGAGAAGAAAAGCAUUCCACUAUCCCCUGAAGGGCCCUUAAAAAAAGAAACCUCUUCCUAGAAUUUACUUUAUUUUUAUUCCUUUUUCCAAAACGAGUCGCUUCGAUUAUCCUUUGAAGUUCUAUCUUCUGUCUUUCCCUAUUUCAUCUCGUAAAGUUCAACGCUCGCAAUUU
rnacentral:lncRNA from 1 species